rnacentral:misc_RNA from 1 species
AACCAUUCUCACCUGCGGCUAGACCUGCGGAGGGAUCAUUAUAGGAAAUUUUCAAAUACCCAAGUUGUGAGGGGGGAGGAGGGAGGUUGGAAUGGAAUGGAAGGGGUCCUUUCUUUCUUUCUUUCUUUCCGGCUUUUUUUCCCCUCUUGCUUCUUCAAACAAACUAUCGCAACUAUAACAAAAGAGGGGAAUUGACUUGGUUAUAUUUUCUAUAAGAAAAGAAAAAAGUGCUUGCCUGAU